rnacentral:rRNA from 1 species
AACGUAGGAGACAAACGUUAUCCGGAUUUACUGGGCGUAAAGGGCGUGUAGGUGGUUUCGUAAGUCUGGCGUGAAAUUUUUCGGCUUAACCGGGAAAGGUCGUCGGAUACUGCGGGACUAGAGGACGGUAGAGGCGUGUGGAAUUCCGGGUGUAGUGGUGAAAUGCGUAGAGAUCCGGAGGAACACCAGUGGCGAAGGCGACACGCUGGGCCGUACCUGACACUGAUGCGCGACAGCAUGGGGAGCAAACAGG